CCUUUAGCCCUGACUCUGACCCAUCUCUGAGGUCAACGAGAAGGAGUACGGUAAGAGAUGACCGCGACCUUUAGCCCUGACUCUGACCCAUCUCUGAGGUCAACGAGAAGGAGUACGGUAAGAGAUGACCGCGACCUUUAGCCCUGACUCUGACCCAUCUCUGAGGUCAACGAGAAGGAGUACGGUAAGAGAUGACCCCGACCUUUAACUCUGACCCAUCUCUGAGGUCAACGAGAAGGAGUACGGUAAGAGAUGACCCCGACCUUUAACCCUGACUCUGACCCAUCUCUGAGGUCAACGAGAAGGAGUACGGUAAGAGAUGACCCUGGUCCCGACCUUUAACCCUGACUCUGAACCCAUCUCUGAGAUCAACGAGAAGGAGUACGGUAAGAGAUGACCCCGACCUUUAACCCUGACUCUGACCCAUCUCUGAGGUCAACGAGAAGGAGUAUGGUAAGA